UUGAACACACGUGGGUAAGUCGCGUGGCGUUGUUUACACCGCCAUAUUGCACAGGAAUACGGAAUAAUCGGAAGACUUUUCGGUGGAGAUCGAACAUUAUUAUUCACAAUGAGCGAUGAUGACAGGGACAUCGACGUUGAGAGUGACGACGAAUUAAACGAUGGUGAACCGGACAAUCGCACACAGGCGGAGAAAAGGGCACAUCACAAUGCCUUAGAGCGGAAGAGAAGAGACCACAUCAAAGAUAGUUUCAGUAUGCUAAGAGAUUCAGUACCUAACCUACAGGGUGAAAAGGCAUCCAGAGCGCAGAUUCUUAACAAAGCAACAGAUUACAUUGAAUUCAUGAGGAGGAAAAAUAACUCGCAUCAAACCGAUAUCGAUGAUUUGAAAAAGCAAAACCAAACGUUAGAACAACAAAUUCGUCUCCUGGAGAGGUCAUCGACAGGGGAAGUAGCUAAAACCAAUGGCAUCAUUCUUAACCAAAAAUUAUCUCACUACGAUGCCGGUUCCGACUCCGACACCGACAAUCAUCCCAAAUCAGGUCACAAGUCCCGCAAACGCUUAAAAACUGACAGCUCAGGGAGUUCGAAAUCUAGCAAAAAGAAGCACGAAUCAAGGUGAUCGUGUUUAGUCCUCGAUUUUUAUUCACAUAAAUUUAUACACUUGUGCUUUUUUUAAAGAUUUUUUUUUUUAAGGAGCAAUCAUUUUAUUGUAUUGUUCAUAUUCCUAGAACCUUGUGGAUUUCCCAUGUGUUGUCUGCAUUUUGUGAAUGACAAUGAUAUUAAAGUAGGAAUGUGGAGAGGUGUUGAGUAACUUUUCAAAAGCUGAACUUGAUGGGCCGGUAUACAAGUAGUGUCUGUACAAGAUGUGGAAAUGAAGCCCUAAUAUUGAAUCCAACAAGAAAUUACUUAACAUGUAGUCCCUUUGAUUAAGUCAGAACUCACAAGGUCUGUAUUUCAAACUUUGGUUUAAUCGAACAAUGAGACAGAGGUUUAACUUGAACUAUGGAAAGCCACAUAUGAAAUGACUCUAAGGGUAUAUACUUGCAUUAUUAGUAUAUUUUGUUCUCAGACUGAUAAAAUCCUCUGGAAAUAUGUGUAAGAGAUACAAUACAAAAGUAUAUUCUUCCACAAAUGAUGAGUCCAGGGUCUGGUAACACAAAAGGUUAGUGAUUGAUCAUACGCUUGAUUUUUACGCUUGAUUGUACAUUGUAGUCAAUGGAAUCAAUCGUAGAAAAAUGUUCUAGGAUCAUUACUAAGCUUUGUGUCACAGGCCCCAGCCUGGUGGGUGUUUUAUAAAGCUGUAAUGAGCAACUUUAUAAAUGACUGGUGAAUGUUUCUUCUCAGCUAUUAAAAUCAA
rnacentral:misc_RNA from 1 species